rnacentral:rRNA from 1 species
AUUCGCGGCCUAUCAGCUUGUUGGUGGGGUAAUGGCCUACCAAGGCGACGACGGGUAGCCGGCCUGAGAGGGUGACCGGCCACACUGGGACUGAGACACGGCCCAGACUCCUACGGGAGGCAGCAGUGGGGAAUAUUGCACAAUGGGCGAAAGCCUGAUGCAGCGACGCCGCGUGAGGGAUGACGGCCUUCGGGUUGUAAACCUCUUUCAGCAGGGACGAAGCGCAAGUGACGGUACCUGCAGAAGAAGCACCGGCUAACUACGUGCCAGCAGCCGCGGUAAUACGUAGGGUGCGAGCGUUGUCCGGAAUUAUUGGGCGUAAAGAGCUCGUAGGCGGUUUGUCGCGUCGGCCGUGAAAACCUGGGGCUUAACCCUGGGCCUGCGGUCGAUACGGGCAGACUUGAGUUCGGUAGGGGAGACUGGAAUUCCUGGUGUAGCGGUGAAAUGCGCAGAUAUCAGGAGGAACACCGGUGGCGAAGGCGGGUCUCUGGGCCGAUACUGACGCUGAGGAGCGAAAGCGUGGGGAGCGAACAGGAUUAGAUACCCUGGUAGUCCACGCCGUAAACGGUGGGUGCUAGGUGUGGGGACCAUUCCACGGUUUCCGUGCCGUAGCCAACGCAUUAAGCACCCCGCCUGGGGAGUACGGAAU